rnacentral:rRNA from 1 species
AUACGGAGGAUCCGAGCGUUAUCCGGAUUUAUUGGGUUUAAAGGGUGCGCAGGCGGGAGAUUAAGUCGGCGGUGAAAUUUUGCAGCUCAACUGUAAAAGUGCCUUCGAAACUGGUUUCCUUGAGUGUAGAUGAAGUAGGCGGAAUUUGUGGUGUAGCGGUGAAGUGCAUAGAUAUCACGAGGAACUCCGAUUGCGCAGGCAGCUUACUAAACUACUACUGACGCUCAGGCACGAAGGCGUGGGGAUCAAACAGGAUUAGAUACCCUGGUAGUCCACGCAGUAAACGAUGAUUACUAGCUGUUUGCGAUACAAUGUAAGCGGCUGAGCGAAAGCGUUAAGUAAUCCACCUGGGGAGUACGUUCGCAAGAAUGAAACUCAAAUGAAUUGACGGGG